AUACGGAGGGGGUUAGUGUUGUUCGGAAUUACUGGGCGUAAAGCGCGCGUAGGCGGCCUGCCAAGUUGGGCGUGAAAGCCCGGGGCUCAACCCCGGAAUUGCGUUCAAAACUGGCAAGCUAGAGACCGAGAGAGGUGAGUGGAAUUCCCAGUGUAGAGGUGAAAUGCGUAGAUAUCGGGAGGAACACCAGUGGCGAAGGCGGCUUCCUGGACCAACACUGACACUGAGGCGCGAAAGCGUGGGGAGCAAACAGGAUUAGAAACCCGAGUAGUCC
rnacentral:rRNA from 1 species